rnacentral:rRNA from 1 species
GCAUGGUGUGUUGGGAAAGCCUUUGCGGCAUGGGAUGGGGUCGCGUCCUAUCAGCUUGAUGGCGGGGUAACGGCCCACCAUGGCUUCGACGGGUAGCCGGCCUGAGAGGGCGACCGGCCACAUUGGGACUGAGAUACGGCCCAGACUCCUACGGGAGGCAGCAGUGGGGAAUAUUGCACAAUGGGCGCAAGCCUGAUGCAGCGACGCCGCGUGAGGGAUGGAGGCCUUCGGGUUGUAAACCUCUUUUGUUAGGGAGCAAGGCAUUUUGUGUUGAGUGUACCUUUCGAAUAAGCACCGGCUAACUACGUGCCAGCAGCCGCGGUAAUACGUAGGGUGCAAGCGUUAUCCGGAAUUAUUGGGCGUAAAGGGCUCGUAGGCGGUUCGUCGCGUCCGGUGUGAAAGUCCAUCGCUUAACGGUGGAUCCGCGCCGGGUACGGGCGGGCUUGAGUGCGGUAGGGGAGACUGGAAUUCCCGGUGUAACGGUGGAAUGUGUAGAUAUCGGGAAGAACACCA